CCCCGAACUCCCCCCGGUGCCUUUGGGGGUCCCUGACUCGCCCCCCCCCCCCGCAGCCGCCCGGGUUCCGCCGCGCCUACAGCUCCCCGCUGUACAGCGAGCAGCGGCUGGGGGGCGCCCGCGAGCUCGGUGAGUGCGCCGCGCUGGCACUGGCGCUGUGUCACUGUCACUGUGUCACUGUGUCACCUGUGUUACUGUGUCACUGUCACUGUGUGUCACUGUGUCACCUGUCAGCAUUGUCACCUGUGUCACUGUGUCACCUGUGUGUCACCUGUCACUGUCACUGUGUCACCCUGUGUCACCUGUGUGUCACUGUGUCACUGUCACUGUGUCACUGUCACUGUGUGUCACCUGUCACUGUGUCACCUGUCAGCAUUGUCACCUGUGUCACUGUGUCACUGUCACUGUGUGUCACCUGUCACCUGUGUCACCUGUGUUACUGCGUCACCUGUCACCGCGGCACUGUGUCACUGUGUCACCAUUGUCACCUGUGUCACCUGUGUGUCACCUGUCACCUGUCACCUGUGUCACUGUGUCAUCUGUCACUGUGUCACCCUGUGUAUCACCUGUCACCCUGUGUCACCUGUGUGUCACCUGUGUGUCACCUGUCACUGUGUGUCACUGUGUCACUGUCACUGUGUCACCUGUCACCGUGGCACUCUGUCACUGUGUCACCUGUGUCACCUGUGUCACCGUGUUACCUAUCACGUGUGUCACCUGUCACUCUGUGUCACCGCGGCACUGUGUCACUGUGGCACCUGUCACCUGUCACUGUGUCACUGUGUCACCCUGUGUCACCUGUCACCUGUGUUACUGUGUCACCUGUGUGUCACCCUGUGUCACCUGUCAUCUGUGUCACUGUGUCACCUGUGUGUCACCCUGUGUCACUGUGUCACCUGUGUCACAUCUGUGUCACCUGUGUCACUCUGUCACCUGUCACAUGUGUCACCUGUGUCACCUGUCACCUGUGUCACUGUGUCACCAUGUAUCACCCGUGUGUCACCUGUCACCUGUCACUGUGUCACUGUGUCACUGUGUCACCCUGUGUGUCACCUGUCACCCUAUGUCACCGUGUCACUGUGUCAUCUUUCACCCGUGUCACUGUGUCACCUGUGUCACCUGUCACCUGUCACUGUGUCACUGUGUCACCUUUGUUGUCUGUGUCACCUCUGACACACCUGUCACCUGUGUACCUGUGUGACCCGUCUCACCUGUGUCACCUCUGCCACCUGUGUCACCUGUGUGUCACUGUAACCUGUGUCACUGUGUCACCAUUAUCACCAUUGUCACCAUUGUCACCAUUGUCACCUGUCACCCAUGUCACCUGUGUGUCACCUGUGUCACUAUUGUCACUGUGUCACCUGUAUGUCACCUCUGUCACCUGUGUGUCACCUGU
rnacentral:lncRNA from 1 species